UGGGUCAAACAUGAGUCACAGCAGCCAGUACUUUGGGGCUGGCAGGUAAUCCUCUUUGGUUUCCUCCCCAGGGGCGUUGUUUGAUCAGCCUGGCCUGCUGAACCCUCGGGAGCAGGCUGUUACUCAGGGGAGGCGAUAUUCUUCUCCAGCGCCUCUCUGUCCCAGGUUUAGACGCGGUUGCCAUCCACCUAAGUCUCUGGCUCAGCGUCUUCUCUUUCCCCGGAGGGAAACAAAGCCCUUUGCAUGCUCUGGUUCAUUGCGCGGCUGGAGGCCAAGUCACCGCAGCCUCAGACGCAGGUGUCUGGGGUGACACAGAGCGACAUCGCGCCUCCGGAAUAAGGGCAGCUCUUCCGCCUUCAAGGCUGUGAAAUGUCAGGCGUGAUUAGAAAGGUCACUUGUCCUGACAGCUCUCUGUGCUUCCCGGAGAGCAGCCUUCCUGCUGUGAACAUUCUUAAUUGUGUUUCCCCGUGGUGGGUGUCAGCCUGCUCAAUUCCUUAUGACGACGGAAGCCCCACCUUCCACCCAUCCUCCAGGGAGAGAGAGGAGGGGGGAAAAAGCCAAAGAUCACAAAACCUUGGGGGGCAGGAAGUGGGGCGGGGACCGAGGCAGUUCUCAGACAACGAGAGUGCCAGGAGGAUUUAUUUCUAGGAAUAGUGUUUGCGGCAGAAAAAGGAAACGUCUGUGAAGGAAAGGCUGAUGAUCCUGCUGUAACAACAGUGGGCUGACGCCUCGAGCUGCUGGGGUUUGUGAAUGAAUGUUUCUAGUACUGAGUUAAGAAGUGAGGUCUUCAGUAGAUGUCUCAGCAGACACCACAGAGUUCCCCCGGUCAUGGUGUCUCUUCACAGCAAUAGAACACUGACUAAGAAAGAGGCCUUCAAACGAAAAUUCAAAAGCUGGGAGCCCUCAGGUAAGUGUGGAGAGUGACAGGCAGUGGAGUCUCACUGCAAUGUCUUCUGGGAAGCUGAGAUGGCAGGCCGAACGAAGAAGUCAGUCCAAAUCCCACCAGUCUCCAACUGUCACUAUUCGGAGGGGGAGUGAAUUUUUCUCCAUGGCAGUGAAAAGCCUGAGGGUGGGUUGCUCAGAGCACUUGGGAUGAGGGACAGAAGGACAGCAGAUACUCUCCCCAGCCUCUUCACUGCCGAGUAUUCAAGAAAUGUAAGAAAAUGGAUGUGAUGGAGGUGGGUUCUGGUUAUGAUGUGACUAUCUCCUGACACGUCUCAGGCAAUCCUCCUACCACCAAACCGUGGUACAAUACUGCACCAGGAUAUAUGCCAUGACACACUUUCAUACUGUGACAUCACAUCAUGUUGUGACAUCCUAUCAUACCGUGUCAUAAAAUAUUACCAUGCUCUGCCAUGCCAUCAUGUUAUGUUACACCACAACACUGCAAUAUAUCACCAUCCUGUAACAUAGCAUCACACCAUGCCAUGCCACCAUGCUAUAAGAUACCACCAUGCUGUGUUACACCAUCAUACCACACCAUGAUACCACCACACUACUAUCAUGUCAUGCCAUAUCAGCAUGCCGUAACAUAGCACCAUGUUAUCCCAUACUACUCAGUUAUCCCAUAUCACCAAGUCAUGGCAUACCCACCUGCUCUAAUAUACCACCAUGCUAUGAUGUAUUAUCUCUUCUUUGUGCCAGAGCACACCCUGUCUCUGGUGAGCUCUUUCUUGCUAUUGGCUGGAGAUUCUGGUUUUUCUGUGAAGCCACCUGCCUGUGACUCAUUCAAGACUAAGCCAUCCUUCCUUUCUGUUCAUGCUUCAACAAGAACAUCUCUCCAUCAUAAUCUUUAUGGCAGAGUUAUUGCUAUCCCUCUUAUUAGAUUGAAAUAUCAGUGAGAGAGGGAACCAUAUUUAUUUCCCUACAUUGCUUAAGCUAAUAUCAUGCUUGACAUAUCACAGAUAGUUGAAAAAUAACCAUUGAACUAAAUUCUAUUUAAUGAGACAGUAGAAAGAGCACUAGACUUGGAUUCAGGAGCCCCAAGUCUAAACCCUACAACCAACCAACAAAUGAUCUGACUCCUCAGAAAAUACCUCGUCUCCACAUAGGGAUAAUGGAUGACAAUAUUUCAUAGAUUUGUCCCAGAAGACCCCGGUAUAUCUCAGAGCAUAGUGGCUGCCCUUCUGCCCAGCACACUUACCUCACCCAUAAUUACUCACUCAGGGUCCACAAAGUUGGUAGAGGGACAACAUAGAACAGAUACGACCACCAUUGUGAGGCCACCCUGUGUCAGACAUCACCAAGCACAAUUUAAAUGACACCUUUGGGUACCGGAAGCAGAAACACAGUGGAGUUGAGUGUUAGUCAACUGGUAACAUUUCCCAAGAGGAUGAUCGCUGGUCAGCAGAGAUCUGGCAAGAGUUACAUAGAACUCCAAGAAGCUGGAGAAAGUCCCCCAUUGCCUAAUGCUACCAGAACUCUAUUGGGACCACUGUGGGGGUCUGAGGACACACAAUCCUGCCCCAUUUCAUGUCUGCUCCCUGGGGUUGUAGGUCUAACUGUUCAUCCCUGACUGAGUCCUGUUAGCCCAGUGUCUGUAUAGAGUGGUGACACAGACACAUCACUCACCCUUUUGGGGCCUCAAAUCCCUUCAUUUUAGAAAAUCAAGGAGGAUUUCAUUCUCCAUGUGAGCUCCCUUUUCUUCAUCAAACCUUUGAUUUCUUUGGAUGUCAGGGUGGAUAGUGAUAAUGCUGAAGUCAGCCGGGAACAAUAGUAUCAAAAGGUUACAAAAAUCAAGACAAACAUGGCAUUUUGGCUCUUCAUCUACCAGAUCCCCAUGGGUAUGAGCAAGAGAGAUAAGGAGAACCUGAUUUUUUAAAAAAGUCUGGACAACUAUAGAGCUGAUGCCACAGUUUCUUUUGGUUUUCGUUUAAAAAAAAAUGCCAGUAGGUAAGGGAUCUAGAGGAAGUAUAACUGAGUCUUGAAUGAAGCACUGUUUAUCAACAGCCCUGCUGGGACAUUGGCACAUUUGGAGUUCUUGAGCUUCUGGACUCAAUUUUGUCAAUAUGUUGUACUCCCCAAGGAUACAAAGUUCUUGUUACCAUGACAAUCACCUCAAACAACGGGACCCUGGUGCCCCACUGUCACAGAGAUGCUCCCAAAUAGAACAAAGGCCACAGCUGCUGCAGAUGAUGCUCAGAGGAGAGAAUGGACCGGUAUUAGCCAGAGCAUGUCAGGAAAGGAGGAUGAGCAAGACCUGGUGUGCUAAAGCAUCCCUGACCCUUCCAUUAUUCCUCCUCCUGCCUAGAUCCUCUAUCUCAGCCAAUACCAGGUCCAUGAUAAGCAUCUCUUCUAAAGAGAAGCCAUCCUGUGUCUUACAGUCCACACUUCCAUAGUACAUAGUCCUUAUGCCAUCAUUCUGUAACUGCCCCACUAGCAGACACAUGACUGGAGAAAUUCCAAGAGGACAGGAGCUGUGCUCUGGUUCAGUGUGAGCUCCAGAAUUCUCUGUGUCAUUCUAACACAAAGUAUCUGCUCAAUAAAUUCUUAUUGUAUACAUCUUACUCUACAGACAUGGGGAAAGGCCAAAACAGGUUGAUAACGUGAUUUAAGUAAAAUCCACCCACCAGCAUCUCCAAGAUACCUAUUGUCUGUAAAAUGAGAAUUUCACUUCUUGUGUCUUCUGUAACUGCAUAGCCUGAGUUUAAUCAAUAAUCCUCCAAAUGAAAGAAAUUUUGAUCAAUGUCUAAUAAAAGUUAUAGGGUAGCCUCAGACUAAUUAGAAAAUAAAAUUAACUAUAUGUUCUGCUGCUUCUAUAGACAUCCAUGGUGUAUUCCAUUCAUUCAAUGCUCUAGGCUUUUUGGUGAUAUAUUAAUGUGUUAGGAUAUGAAGGAUGACUAGAUCUGAGACUGGAAAAAGGAUGCAGCAGGAGGAAUCUCCCCCCUGCACAUGUGUCCACUGAUAUUUCUUGGGGUGGGAUGAGGAGACCCUGGCUAUCCUGUUUGCCAUCUUUCCUGAGUGUCUUAGAGUUUCUAUUGCUGUGAAGAGACACCAUGACCAUGGCAACUCUUAUAAAGGAAAACAUUGUCAGAGGUUUAGUCCAUUAUCAUCAUGGUGCAACAUGGUGGCGUGCAGGCAGACAUGGUGCUGGAGAAGGAGCUGCUACAUCUUGAUCCCUCAGGCAACAGGAAGUGGUCUGAGAUACUGGGCGUGGCUUGAGCAUGUAUUAAACCUCAAAGCCCACCUCCACAGUGACACACUUCCUCCCAUAAGACCACACCUACUCCAACAAGGUCACACUUCCUAAUAGUGCCUCCCCCUUUGGGGGCCAUUUCUUUCAAACUACCACACUGAGCAUAUCACCUCACUUCUCUGGACCCUGGUUCCUGCUUGUAAAAGUCGAGAAAAUAAUUUCUUCUCCCUUCCCAUCCACAGACACACAAACUGAUGGUUCUCCCUGUGUUAGAGAAUAAGGGAGCUUUUAGACUCACGGGGGUUCUUCCAGACUCUUUGGAGAGGCCUAGAUUAAAAAUACCAUUCAAUGAACCAUUGAAUGGAGUUAUUAUUCUAAGAUAGGUGGCCCUAAAUACCACAAAACCACUCAUUCCUAUUAUAAGGCUACUAGGACCAAGCCUACAAAAACAGGCAUUGAGAAGACUAGUUAGUAUUAACUAGUUAGUACUAACAAGGACUUGACACCUUAUCUGCACCCUGCCCAUUCAAUCACCCAGCUCUGGGGGAAACUACACUGUGUCUUAAAGCCUAACAGAGUGAUGGGAAAGCAAUGAGAAAGAUACAGGACUGACCAACUGUGAGAGAUUACGUUUCUGGUGAGAGGUGGUGGGCUCACUCGCUCACGCCUGUACUUUGGAACACACAUCCACUAUCCUCAGCAGCCUUUCUACCUCUUAGCCUGCCUUGCUGUUCAACAGUUGGCUGCUCUGGGAUCCUUGCCAGCUCUGUAGGCAGUGUUAGUGCAGAUCACAAGGCAUAGAACCCUGGCCUGAGGCACUCAUUGCAUUGUCUGGUGACUGCAUCUUAGGAUAAUACUAGCCUUUUGUCCUAGACUCUCAACCUGCAUCUCACGUCGGCAUGCCUAGGGUCUGGCACCCAGGUGUGGUCACUCUGUGUCUUCAGAAUCGAUGCUUGCCCUGUUUCCUUCACGACCAGACCCAGGGGACAGAGAGGAAAUGAGUGGCAAGAUAUUUUCAGAUUUAAUAGUGACCCUAAGGGUAACAUGCCCUUAAGAAGACAUCAACUUUAGUCCACGCGUGGAAACGAAAUUGACGAAACGCCAGUGGGACUGGCUUGGGUCUUGUCUGGUUUUGAUCUGGUCCUCAAGAUCAUUGUGCCCAAAGGCAGCCAACGUACCCUUUGCUACCUCAACCUGAAUUUUUAUAAAAGAAAUUUUUUUCAUGCGUAUCUUUUUAUAACGUUUUAUUAACCAAACAAUAGGAUAUACUUUUAUUAUAAAAAAAUUAAACACACGUAAAAGUAGGAAGACUGUAAUAAAUCUCACAUACCCAACACCAAGCCCCAGCCUGUGUCCAGUCUUGCUUCACCUGCACUUGCUGGACUAUUUUGAAGCAAAUUCCAGGCAUCGUGGUGAACAAAUGCUUUUUGAUUCGUACAAGGUCUAAAAAUUUUAAAUCUUGAGAAAGUCCUUUGUAGAGUUACUUCCCAAUAAAUGGAAUGGGGGAAGUAUGAAAAUCCUUUGAAAUCAAGAUAUAUAUUCCUCCAGAGCGAGAACCAGGGCACUAUGUACAAAGCCAGUGCUGACCUUGCAAAGACCAGAGCCUCUGGGCUCUCUUUAGAACAAAGAUGCACAGAGUUAGGAGCAGCCAAAUGGACAAACCCACUCCAGGGCCUUUUCGUUCUGCAUCAGAUACUGUACCCCACACCCAGAUACAUACACGCACCCACUCCCACAAGCAGGCACAUGACGGGAGAGACACCUCUAUCCACCCACGCACUCUGCUCCCAUCAGUUGUUUUCCAAACACUUUGGAGAGAACCCAGAGCCUACGGCCUGGAAAGCUUUUCUUUCUCAAGCAGAACAUUGUUCCACAGAGGCUCAGAUCUGUGGCUCCUGGAGGGAUCACCACGGGAUGGAUCAAAACAUACAACCCACGUUCACUCUGUGUACCAAAGUGCUCCUUUUGGGGUAUCAGGCUAAAAACUGGUGACGAACACCACAUAGCAGCCAGUGUUGUUUAUACGGGGAGCUAUUAGUUCUGUUUAUGUACUUAAGAUCCCACAGUGGGGAAACUCCUGCCCACACAACACUUUGCCUCGCUCUGAUGCCAUCCUGUCAAUCUCGAAGCACUUAACACACGGUACUUACACCUAAGGAGUGAGUGAAACACAUCAUCAUCCUGAAGGACAGACCAGACGGAAACCUAACAGCUUUCAUGAGCCUUCCUCUUCCACUGUCUCAGGUCCAGGUUACUUCAUUUCUUUUGAUGAUUCAUUUUAAUGUACAUGUAUGGGUAGGGGUCUCUGUGAGUGUCCACCACGUGUGGGGUUUGGGGGAGUGGUACCUGUGAAGACCAGAAGAGGGUGUGUGAUCCCCUGGUGCUGGAGUUACAGGCACUUGUGGACACCAGACAUGGGUGCUGGGAGCCGAAUUCGGGUCCCCAGGAGGAGCAGGAAGUGUCCGUCACUGCUGAGCCAUCCCUCCAGCCCCCUUACUUAACUUGACAAAACAGCUCUAUUAUUUAUUUAUGUUAGCUCCAUGUUGCAGACACAGGAGCCUGGGAUUCAGAGGAAUUCAUUGAUUUUUUUUUCCCCCAAAAGCUACAGAGCUAGUCAAUGUCACAGGUACCCAAUCCGUCCCUCUACACCGGAAAUCCCUAUGAUUUUCAUGUGGGACAAAUUUCCAUUAUUUAAAUAAUUUUUGAUUUUUAACCUUUAAUUUUUAAAUAAUCGCAUUAUUGUAAGCUGGGCAGUGGUGGCACAUGCCUUUAAUCCCAGCACUCUGGAGGCAGAGGUAGGCAGAUCUCUCUGAGUUCAAGGCCAGCCUGGUCUACAGAGCUAGUUCCAGGACAGCUAGGGCUGCUACACAGAGAAACUCUGUCUCAAAAAAAAAAAAAAAUCAGUAUUAUUGUAAAAACACAGUAGCAGAACAAAGUAUUCCCAUUCACCAUUCACCCAACUUCUCCAGAGUUGGUGUCUCCAGUGAACAUAUUACAAUAAUCAAUAUUAUCAAUAUAUCAAGAAUUUAGCCUUGACAUAAGGCUAUUGUUGAAACUGCGUGCUUUAUCCUAAUUUUACCAGCCACCUCUAUUGUCCAGAGUCCAAACCAGAUGGCACACUGUAUUUCAUUCUCAUAUUUCUUUAGAUUGUGCUAGCCAUUACUUGGGAGGCAGAGACAGGUGGAUCUCUGUGAGUUCAAAGCCAGUCUGGUCUACAUAGAUUCUGUUAGUCUCGGACAAUUCCCCUGUCCUUCUUCAUCUUUAAUGACCUUGACACUUUGGGAAAGUACAAGCCAGCUAUUUAUUUUAGAAUAUCAUUUAGUUUAGACCUUUUUAAGUAUUUGAAAAGUUUUAGGAAGCCCCUGAGUGGGAUAGCUUCAUCAACCACCUCCCACAUCUCAGGGAACACUGUGACAGAGAGGACAGGAAGAACAUGAGACCCAGAAGAUGAGGAGUGCGUGAGAGCCUGUCUUUUGGACAUGGCGUGGCCAUUACGCUCAUGAACUCCUAGUAACCAUGGCUACCUGGACAAGACUUGAACAAAUCAAGCCAGUCAAAUUUCUAGCAUGGAUGGGAGAGAAGCUCACAAGGUUUUCACCCCUAGCUGAGGAGCUAUUGAUAGCUGAUGGCUAAUGGGGGUGGGUGGGUGGUAUCAUUUUUCUUUGAGGUAAGGUCACUGGUAGAUUCUCCAUCUUCCAAUGGAUGACCCCAUAACCCUACAUAUGUGGGCAACACCAAUUAGUGACUUAUUUAAAACCAUAAAAGAUGACAUGAAUUUGGGAGUGAGAUGUGGCAGAACAUGGGGGGCAGUUGGAGAAGUUGGAACAGGGUAGAUACGACCAAACUACACCACAUACAUGUGUGAAAUUUUCAAGUAAUAAAUAAAAAAUAGCAUACUCAUAAAGUUUCACAAAUCACCCUAUGAGCUUCUUGGUCCGCCUUUUCUUUUGUAUCCUUUAUAAUAAAUUGUAAUAAUAAGCUUUUUUUAAAAAAAUAGUUUAAUUUUCAACUUACAUGUAUGGUUGUUUUGCCGCAUGUAUGUGCACCACAUGCUCGCCUGGUUAUCUAAGACAGUCAGAAGAAGGGAUCAAGUCUCCUGAAUCUGGAGUUAUAGGCCAUGAAGGUGCUGGGAAUCAAACCCAGGUCCUCUAAAAGGGCAGCGGCAGGUGCUCUUAACCACUGAGCCAUCCCUCCAGCCCCCAAUAAUAAGCUUUUUCAAAGUAAUGAACUAGUGUUAUGCUGAGAAAAAGUUUCAUGCACCCUCAAACGAUCAUAGCCAUGCUUUGAAAAUAUUUAUUGGCAUAGUUAUUGACAAGAGGUGAUUCUCCAUGGAAGGACGAUUUUGAUUUUGCUCACCGUGAUGGUUUCCCUAUACAUUUGAAAAAUGUUUUAUAUAUCUAAGGUAAUUUUUAUGUAGUUGACAGGUGGGGUAAAUUUGGUUUCACGCACCCAUCCAUACAUAUGCACCUCUUCCUGAAGUCAUCAGCCCACAGUCACACACAGUCCAAGGCAGAAAUUCUCCAGGAAAUCUUGCAGGAAACAAUGGAGACUGACAAGGUCGGAUAACAACAUCCAGAGGAUGUUUAUUGUGUGCCUGUAACUUUAUUGUAUUCUGGCAUGAUGCACUCUGCUGAGAGUUUUUGCACACAAUGCCCUGUUAUUAUCUUUCUUAUUCUAUGGUGGAGGAAAUUAAGAUUCGGAGUGUGACUCAGCCAAUGUCACACAUUUGCACAGUAGCAUUGGGAUUUAUGAUCCCAAUUCUGAAAGCAUCUUGGUCUAGCUUUUCAGCCCUUUGUCUAAGGUCAAGUUCAUAGUCCUAUGGUCUCAUGCACCAUGCUAAUUUUGUCAAAAGCUCAUCAUUUGACUCUGUGUUCCCAUUGAACUCAUUUGUGAGACAGUUUUCACUGCUUGUGUUCUAAAUUCUUUCCCCAACUUGAUCUUUUUUGUUUGUUUGUUUGUUUUUGUUUUUCAAGACAGGGUUUCUCUGUGUAGCUUUGGAGCCUGUCCUGGGACUCACUUGGUAGACCAGGCUGGCCUUGAACUCACAGAGAUCUGCUUGGCUCUGCCUCCCGAGUGCUGGGAUUAAAGCCAUGGGCCACCACCACCCGACCCCCAACUUGAUCUUUAAUGCUCAGUUCUAAAGCUGUUUUCCCUUUCUCUUUCUAUCCUCCCUUCCCCUCUCCCGACCCUCCUCAUGUUGGGAAUCAAACCCCAGGCGCUGUACAUGCUAAGCAAGUACUGUACAUCCCCCUUUCAUAAAGCCAUUCAUUCUUCUGGUAGAAGGAGAGACUAGGUUUCUACCAGCCCUGGGUACCACUCUUCUUCCCUCUAAUGCAGUAGUUCUCAGCAGGUGUGUUGAAUACCAGAUAUCCCGCAUAUUAGAUAUUUACAUCAUGAUUCAUAAUAGUAGCAAAAUUAUAGUUAUGAAAUAUAGUAGCAAUGAAAUAAUUUUAUGAUUGGGGGUCACCACAACAUGAGGAACUGUAUUAAAGGGUCUCAGCAUUAGGAAGGUUGAGAACCACUGCUCUAACACAUCACAAACAAAAGCAGCAGAGCUAGAAGCAGCCUGAGUAUUCUCAAGUUCAGCCUCGUUGUAUAAAGGAGGAAACGAUGAUGCUAACUAGUAUUUACAGAGUGUGUAGUGAGGGGCGGGCUGUGUUCUCAGUGUUUGCCACAGAGUGUAUCAGUCAACACUCAUAACUACCAAGACAACCACUAUUGCAGGAGAGGCUUCUAGAACUCACUCAUCUCUGAGCAUCUUCUCCUUAGGCAUCCGGAGGAUUGCUGUUAGACAAAACCAUGUUUCAAGAUGCAGUCAGUGAGUUGUGGAAGAAAUCAAUGUGUCACUCUGAGCUGAAGCACUUAAUGAAUUGUGAGGCAUGGGUCUGUUCAGUGUCUGUUGCUCUGUUCUGGGAUUCCUGGGCUUUCCCAGGGAAGCUCCUGAUUUGACUGCAUUCAAAUUCUCUCUGAACACAGCCGUCUUAGUUAGGGUGUCUAUUUGCUGUGAUGAAACACCAGGACCAAAGCAACUUGGGGAGGAAAGGGUUUAUUCAGCUUACAUUUCCACAGCACUGCUCAUCACCAAAGGUUAUCAGGACAGGAAUUUAAACAGGGCAGGAACCUGAAGGCAGGAACUGAUGCAGAGGCCAUGGAGAGGUGCUACUUACUGGCUUGUUCCCCAUGGCUUGCUCAGCCUGCUUCCUUUUGGAACCCAGCACCACCAGCCCAGGGAUGGCACCACCUGCAAUGGGCUGAGUCCACCCCCAUCAAUCACUAAUUAAGAAAAUGCCCUACAGGCUUGUCUACAGCCUGAUCUGAUGGAGUUUUCUUAACUGAGGUUCCCUCCUCUCAGAUGACUCUAGCCUGUGUCUAAUUGACAUAAAACUAUGCAGUACACCAACCCAGGAGUGGAACCAAUGAUUGUAUCAGGAAACUUACAUUAACUGAAUAACAGGAAAAACAAAACAACCCCCACAAAUCUUAAUGCAACAUAUAAAAAGUAGCGCCCUCUUGUGUCAGUAUCCCACAUGGAUGAACUUUUCCAUCUAGCAGCCUCCCUGUCUGGAACAGGAAGCUUCUGGGUUCCUGAAGCAGGGAAGAGAGAAAUGCACGAGGCAUUUCUUCCUGCCUUUGUCCUGGGUGGCAUGGCACUUCCUUCAGGGACACAUGGUCCUGGGUCUUCCCAAAGAGGCCCAUCCUCCUGAUAUAGUGCCCAAAGAUCUAGUCCUUAUCUGUCCUAGAAUUUUGAGUCUGUGGCUAUGUUUCUUUUUCCCAUAUAGCUGUCUCCUAAUAUACAGUAUUCUUAGCACAAUCAGCUAGCCACCUUGGAAUUGAAUAGAAAGAGAGAGAGAGAGAGAGAGAGAGAGAGAGAGAGAGAGAGAGAGAGAGAGAGAGAGAAAGGAACGAAGGAAGGAAGAGAGAGGAAAAAAAAGAAGCAUCAAAAGCAAAAACCUUAGGGUUUAAAAUAGAAUCUACGGCACCAUAUGCAGAUCAUGGCCUCCAGCUCUGCAUUUCAUCCCCUUCCUGGGGUCCUUUUGAUGUCCAUGAAGGUUUGUGAACCAUUCUUAAAGUGUAUGGUGGUUGAUGGUCAUUGUCAACUUGACUGGAUUUAGGAUCCCAGGAGCCACCCCUCUGGGUGUACCUAUGAAGCUGUGUCUAGAGAGGUUGAACUGGGGAGGAAAGAACCACUCUAACUGUGGGUAUCACCAUUUCAUGAGCAAUGGAAGAAAGGCGGAAAGAGAAAGUCCCCAGAGCAACAGAGCCUGCUUCCUGAUUGACACAGAGGUAAGCAAGCUCAGCCACCACGCCUUCCCCCUUCUGGAUGGGUUGCAACCUCAAAUUGUGAGCCAAGAUAAACCCUUCUCUCUCUCUCUUUUUAAAGAUUUAUUUAUUUGUAUUUUUAAUGCAUAUUGGUGUGUCGCCCUGUACAUGUAUCAACGCAGCACAUGCAUGCAGUGCACAUGGAAGCCAGAAGAGGGCAUCGGAUUCUUCAGAACUGGAGUCACAGACCUUGUGAGGCACCUGUGGGUGCUGGGAAUCGAACCUGUGUCCUCUGGAAGAGCAACAAGCACUCUUACUGGAGAAGCCAUCUCUCCAGCCAAAUCUUUCUUUCUUAAGUUGCUUCUUGUCAGAUGUCCAGUCACAGAAAUGAUAAAAAGUCACGACUACAAGGUGUGAAGCCCAGGGAGAUUAACAACGUUCGAGAAGUAUUAAAGACGGACUGUUACUACAAUGAGAUUUCUGUCCUGGACACAAUCCUAAGGCACAAGAUCAAACUGGACAGGAAUAGUAUUCUCGUGUGUGAGUCAAUGUUAUCUAGAAGCGUAUCUAUCCUAUUCCAGAUAUUCCAGAACACUAGUCCAGGGAUGGCUGGAAUUCGAGCACCCUGCUGAUGUGCACUGGGCUAGCGUUGUUCUCAACCUUGGCCAAAGAGGCUGCUCUCUGCAAUGGACAGCAGUUAACGCAGCGACUCUUAACGGAUCAAAGCACCGAGGACAAGUGACUGUUGAGUGCCUGUUCCCACUGGGACACCUGUAUCACCCCAUCCAACUCAAGACCCGGGGAACCCUGCAGAGAAGAAGAUGGGAAGGAUGUAAGAACUGGAUGAUGGAAGGAGCGCUCUGAGACGCCGCCUUCUGGACAUGAUGCGGUCAUUGCCUUCAUGAACUCUGUGGCUGCUGUGGUUGCCCACCCAAUAUCAAGCCAACAGGAUCAGUCAGAAUUCCAACAGGCAACACAAAUUGGACUCGGUGAGUUAUAAAAGAAAAAAAAAAGAGAGAAGAUAUGAAGUGGAGGGGGGUAUUCUGAUGGACAGUCAGAGGGAGUGGGAAGGGCUAUCGGGGUAGACGACAUCAAUAUAUACUCUGUCUAUAUGAAAUCAUCAAAGAACAAAUAAGAUAUUCUGGAAAAUGUAAAUUAAUCCCAUGUUGUCACACGGUUAGCUCCCCUGUCUACGCCCACUUCUGCUUUGCAUAUCCAAACAAGGAGGUGUCAAAUGUGCACUGUACAUCAUACACACAUGUAAAGCCUGCCUUGCAUACACUUCAUCAUAGGGUGUGGGGGGACUGCUGUGCAGCUUGGGCCACACAAUAUUCACUGGCCAGCCCCUUCACAUCCAGGCUCCCCUCCAACUUGGCUUUCUUCCCAUCAAACCAGAAGUGCUCACUCAUUUCCACAGUCCUUCUAGACUGUCCCCUUCCUUCAGCCUGCUUCCCUCCCCCACACUCAUGGGACAUAGCUGGGCUUCUCCAACAUACCAUGUUCUCGGCUGUUGCCCAUGUUCAUCUUCUCUCGGGCUCCCUUGGAAUCCAUAUUCCACAACUUCCUGCCCUCCCAGCUCUAUUAAGUAACGCUCUGUGUGAAUGGCUGAGCUUGAAGCCACGCCCAAUAAGUGAGCCAGUCCUUCCCAAACUGAUGCUGACUGGCAAGUACAAGAUUACUCUAGUGGGCAUCAUGCGGAGCAGAGAUUCUCAACCUCUGGGGCACAACCCCUCUGGGGGUCGAAUGACCCUUUCACAGGGUUUGCAUAUCAUUAUGACUCACAACAGUAGCAGAAUUACAGCUAUGAAGUAGCAAUGAAGAUAAUUUUAGGGUUGGGGGUCACCACAACAUGAGGAACUGUAUUAAAGAGCCACAACAUUAGAAAUGUUGAGAACCACUGAUGUGGAGGAUCAACAGAUAUUUGAUUUGAGAAUUGUACUACACAGUUGUCAGGACACCAAUUGUCUUCCCCCAACCCAUUCCCCCUGCCCCCCGCCGUGUGUGUGUGUGUGUGUGUGUGUGUGUGUGUGUGUAAGAGACAAAGACAGAGAGAAAGAGACAUAUUCUAAUAUUUUCGUAAGCAUAGUAUGUACAUGUCAAUGAUACAUAAAUUGGCAAAAUGUCCAGGGACCUAGCGGUAAGUUUGGACAUCUUUAUGCCCAACAGACCAUUAAAGCAUUAGUAAUGAAGACUUAGAAGAACAUUAGGAUGAAGAAAGGGUCCUUGGAGCUUCCAAUUUAAGUAGGAACUUCAAAUGGAAGUAGAAAUGAAAAGGCAGCAAUGGAAACGCUGAGGGUAGUGGCCACCUUUUCUGGUAGGAACCUGUAGUCUUCAGUCCACAGUGGUGCCUUGCCAAUCGGCUAUGAAGGGUUUGCUCCCUUAUCCUGGUAUGUGCAUGGUGAAAAUUCACAAUUGCACCAAUCAUAUGACUACCAACAUCUUGGGGUUCCUAGAAACACAUGAAAAAGUCCAUUCGCUUCUCAAUGACAUGUUUGAAUACUCCUUAUACUCUGUUUACUGAAACAAGAUGUCCCAACAUUAGAUAAGCCUUGCAGAAGGACGAGUGUCAUUUGUUUCUGUUUGGAUUUAAGAAAUCCCUCUGGACCCUCCCAAACAAUGUCAUUUGUGAACUGAAACUCUCAAAUCGAGAAGGGAUCAUGAGUCCUCUAGCCCCAGCCUAGCUUUGACAGAAUGCAGUUGAUAGGGGUCAAAACUCAAACUGACUUCCCUGGAGAUCCCUCACUGGCCAAGGCACUGCCCUUUAUGGCCCUUCUUUCGUACCACAUGCUUUUAACAUUGGGUGGUAGUGUUGAUUUUUUUUCCUCCUAAACAUUCUCUCUCUUUUUUUUUUUUUUCAAUGAUUUUGACUAUGGAUAUGUCCAAUUAAGCAAACGUUUCAUCACUUAAUUUUGAGCAUGAAGUGAGUAUCAUGUACUGAGCUGAGAUCUAAUGGCCUCAGGAUGCCGAGGAAAAAGCACACACUGGUUGCUUCCUCCUGGGAUCUUAUAGUCCUUUCAUAAUGCCUCCCUUGGACCCAGGCAAGUCGUCUCUGGCUUUAGAAGGUUUAUAGCUAUUCCCUCUUCAAUAACACCUGUCCACAGAGAAGGAGUCUCCAAAGUCGAGGAACCAUGUCCCUCUUCUGGAAUGUGCUCCUGGGACCCUGGAGUUCUUGCCAAGAUAGAGAUGAGCCUGAUCCUAGGACCUGGAAGACUUUCUUCAGGUCUAUAAACUUCAGUCCCAGGCUAGAGAACUAGGGCGAGAAGCCACUGUUCGGGGAAUGGUACGGACAGAACUUGGACAAGAGAAUCAGAGUGGUCUGUGGACAUCUCCAUCAGCUAACGCAGAAUUCAGACAAAUCUAAAAGUUACACAUUCAAAUUCUCUCUCCCGCUUGCUUUGAAGGCACAGUCGUCAGGCUGAGAGGGUAGAGCUAUAUUUAACAGUUUGUCAGCUGGCUUUAUGACUUGUAAAUAUUCUAGCCUACAGUAUGUGAGCUUCUAUUACCAUCUUUGCCUAAGAUCCAUGCUAUAGGUGUGGGUUUGUUCACUGUGCAAAGAGGUAUUAAUGAAGCAAGUACACAAAGAGAUAUAAAACCAAAUUGCACUUCCUAGUGCAAAUACAUCCUCUGGGCCUAAACUGCUCUUCUGGAUCUCCAUUUCCCAGAGUUCUCAGUGUACCUUGCAGGUCCCCCCUGAACCUUGUAAAACCCUUUAUUCUAUGGUUCAAUAACCCACCACACUGGCUAAGACCUUCCACAUUAUUCUUGCUCCCUGUGAACAAAGGUCUCAGGAAGCCAGCCCCCAAAAGAACAAGAAAGGCACCCAAGUCUUAAAUUCCUCUAGACCUGUUUCCUGCUUUUCAUUAAAUCCAAAACAUGCACCUCCUCCCUACCCUGCUCCGGACUGCAUCCUUAGCCCUUAGCCCCGCCUCCAGGCAUUCCACAGCUUCCCAGCCUAGCAGGUGGUUGCAUCUCUGUGAAAGCACACUCUUCUCACAUCUCCUCUGCAGCUUUCUAUCUAGCCUCCACCUUUCUGAAUCUGUUUCCUCUCACUUGGUCUUCAGCAGCAACAGAGAAGCCUUCCUGACUAAUUGGGGGAAAAGUAGCAAACCCCCCACCCACCUACCGUCCUCCAUACCUGUCUUUCUGAAUAGGUAUCCAACCCACUGGCUGUUUUUAAACCUGCCUCUUUCUUGUUCAGAUAAUAACGAAGUUCACUCAGGUUCAUCUGCUGUGUGUUCUUGAUCUCUGUCAGGUCCUGUGAUGUCUGGGCUAGACAUCCCAGAAGACAGGGCCACAUCUAACGUGUGUCUCUAGCCCCUGCUCAGCAAAGCAGCAGGCCUAGCUGGCCCUUAGUAAAGACUUUGGUGUUGGAAACAGAGGAACAGCACUCUGUGCCUAGAGCAUUGUGUGUGCAGGAGAAGCCAUCCACGACUGUCCCAGCCCUCCUGCUAGCCUAUGAGCUGGAGCCCGCUUUAACAAAAGCAAGUGAGCGUGAUAAUAACAAUAACAGAACAUUGUCACAGCUGCUCAUGUAGUAUUGACCGACUUGGUUUUCAGAGUCAUCCUACAAAGCAGGGGCUGCCGUUAUUUUACAAAUGAGGAAUCCGAGGCACCGUUAGGCCACGUAACUAGUUCAUCACUCCAGUUAGGGCCAUCUGGCUUCAGGCAGACUCAGCCUACCAACCACAGUGCACUGUCCUUCUAGGAGGAUUGGACAGCAUUAGCCACAAGUAGAGAGUGAGGGGAUAUGCAAAAGCCCCUGCCACACACUCUCAGGGGUCUUUGAACACGGUCUUACAUGAAGGAAUGGCUGAGAAGAGAAAAGAAUGGCUACUCAGGAACUUUCUAGCAGGGAGCCAACAGGUAGGUUCUCAAAGCAUUUGUUCACACCUCACCCUUCCUUCUCCUCCCAGAACCCCUCCUCUGUUUCUCAAACAUUCUAAGUCUGCUCACACUUGCAUUAUUGAGUUAGUUGUCCCAUGCAGCCAGACUGCUUUCCCCAGGUCUGUACCCGCUCCUCGUCACUUAGGUGCCAGCUGGGAUGGAGCAUUCUUAGGAAGACUCUUCCUGUUUGCCCUAUCCGGAUGUGGCUGUCCUCGUCUCGUCCCUUCCCUUUCAUUCAUGGUUAACUCAUUUUCAUGUUUGUGUAGUGCCUUGUCUGACUCGUCUGCACCACGGUUCUCCAUCUGGAAUCACCUUACUCAUCUACUAGUUCAUUUGCCCUCUGCUGUGUCCCCACUGGAAGGCCAGCUUCAAGACAGCAGAGAUCUCCCCUGCUUUUGUUUACUCACGGAUGCUUAGUACUGGCGCCAUAGCACCCUGUGGCUUUGAACCAUUUGUCAUGUACGUGCAUGAGUGAAUGGGUGCAAAGUCCUUUGUGGAAACCUGCAAGUGUGAACCUAACCGAUUUGAAUCCCCCUGGAACCCCUCACUACAACACUCCAAGCACUUUGCAAGAAGAGACCAAAUCUUUACUUUUGUCAAUCUUUUGGAUCCUAGAGUACUGACAAACUAGAGCAUGGUAUGUGGGAGGGUAAGUUUUUGGUUCCUUUGUUUGGACAGAGAAAAAAAAACCAAGCCAUUCAGCUAUUCAGAUCACUGCUCUCCUAGACCAGGGAGAGACAACUGCUUGACAGUGUGGUCUCUCUGUCUCUCUCUCUCAACAGAACUGAAAUACAGAAAUCUCCACCUGACCACUUCUCCAUCUCCCUCUCUCCUUGUCUAUCCCCACCUCUUCUCUUUCCUCUUUCUCUAGAGUCCCCCCCCUUCCCUCCUUUGUCUUCCUUCCUCAUUGAAAUUCUGUAAAGAAGAGUGAGAAGAAAGUGGGAAACCAUGUUCCCCACAUCUAGCACAACACCCACAUUUCUCUUACCACUAUAACACGAUCCCAGUAAAACCCCUUGACUCCUACAACAAGUAAACCGUCCUAAUCAUGAUAAUCAUUUUUUUUUUCCUUUCUUCAAGACAAGGUUUCCCUGUGUAGCCUUGGCUGUCCUGGAACUCACUCUGUAGACCAGGCUGACCUUGAACUCCAGAGAUCUGCCUGCUUCUGCCUGCCAAGUGCUGGGAUUAAAGGCGUGCGCCAUCACCACUGCCUGACCCAUGAUAAUCAUUUUUAAGAAGUGUUUUAUUUGGUCCCAUCUCAAUGAAGACACAGCCCCUCACACAUAAUAAGAGAUCCCAUUCCUCUAAUGAUGUUAGCUUUUUUAUUCAGCAUUCCAUUUAUAACAUAUAGUAAAGAUGACGAACAACAACAAAAGUUCCCAAUCCUUGAGCAGAUCUUGUGCCACAAGAGGGCAUUUUAGAAUAUUACUAAUGACCCCGCCCCCCUUAUUUUCCUUUUCUAAUAAAAUGCAGCUUUUCCAUGAUCGAAAAACAUGUUAAUAAUAUGUUAAUCCCUUACAAGGUAUUUUUACACUUCUGGGCUCUCCUACAAAGAAAGGAUAUGGAAAGCAAGUGCUAUCUCGUGGAAAUUGGAAUAGCGGCCUAGAGGCAUAAAGUUAUUUGAAGAAUAUUUCACAGCAGGUGAAAUAUUAUCUCAGCACAUGUUCCAAGACUUGCUGUUUUCUAGAGACAAGAGAGCUCUUGCCAGAAGGCUCACUUCCAACAGCCCCUGUGAUAUGCACACAUGUGCCAGCCCAUAUGGGAGAAGGAAGAAAUACUUUAGGAAGUUAAUAAGCAAAAUCACUCUAUGUUUUGGAAAAGCUGAGGUCCUUGAAUGAGACAAAUGCUGACCCAAAGUCAGGCUCAUCUUUGCUGUUAGUCACAGACCCACAUACCUUCUACAGAAGUUCAGUAUUGGCAAUGGAGCAACAUGCUAGAAGAAAGCCACUGAGUGGGCAACCUGGACCUGCUCACCCACCAGCAUAUCAUUUGAUGCUUCAGGUAAUCAUAGUCAUAUGAAGGAGAAGCCCAACCCUCGGUCUCUCAGAGAUCCUUAUUCACUACUUCCUUUCAUAAUGCCUAGACUGUAGCCCCAGGCAUCCCCGGUCCCUAAGGGCUUUGCCCAUUCAGAGACAAGAGAAGAAAAAUGAAUGAAAAUGUCAGCUAAGCCUGCAUCUCACGGAGUAAGCAAAAAAAAGGGGGGGGGGACUUAUCAGGAGCACCAACGAGGCAUCCUACUUCAUUGACAACUAUUCAAGAACACCCAGAAUCUCUCCGCUGAAGAGGUCACGGAGGUGAACAGUACCCCGCCCACAUCCCUAUCAAACGUUCCCUCUCCCGCAUCACUAAGGAGACCUGAUUUCCAGGGGAACCCUGGGACUGUUCCUUAUGUGUUUUCACAAUUCAGGGCUGUUGUGAGUUAGCACAUCUACCCAGUGUUGUGAACACAAGACAAUUGGUGGAGUAAUAAGAGGGCUGUCUGUGGAAAUCUGAAUAGAUAAGGAAGGGAGAAUCUGCCUGACUUGAAAAAAAAUUCUCCAUCCCAUGUCUUAGAUGGGGAAAGUAUAAGGGAAAGGAAGGGAAGGAGAGUAGAUCUGGCAAGAUUCUUUCCUAAUGUCCCUUAAACUCACUCUGGCUUAGAGUAUCUGCUUCCAACACAGGAAAAUGCAAGAUCACCAAGAAGUGUCUUGGCAAACUGAGGUAGCCGCAAAGGAAAAAAAGAAGAAGAAGAAGAAGAAAGAAAGAAAAAAGAACAAACAAACAAACAAGAUUUUUGUGCUUCACUCUAUGAGAAUAGGAAGAAAGAACACAAUCUUGGCACAAUUUCAGAAAAGGAAGAAAUUUGAAGGUAGAGCUGAGUCUGGGCUGGGGUGGGGAUUUACCAGCAAGACACCAACUGAAAGUGUUGUUUAGCAACAACCAUGAAGGUCCCUCUGAGUCACAUCAUUGCUUCUGGAUCUUCUGUUCUGAGUGCUUCUGGAAGUUUGGGCAUGGAAUUAAAGAGACUUGCAUUGGGGGGGAGGUGCAAAAUCAAAGCGUAACUGAGCUAGUUACCAAACAAGCUCCCUCAGGCACCUAUUGGUCAAGCUUCACCACAAGAGAAACUCUAAACACCGUCGCUGACACUAGAAACAGCAUAAUAGUUCCCUGGGGCAAACAGUUAAGUGGCCAUCUGCAUGGCCAGGAGAUACCACACACCAGAGCAGGGGAAAUGGAAAGG